CAUCCAGAGAACUUUCCAGAGAUGGAUUGGUGCCUUCGGGAACUCUGAGACAGGUGCUGCAUGGCUGUCGUCAGCUCGUGUUGUGAAAUGUUGGGUUAAGUCCCGCAACGAGCGCAACCCUUAUCCUUGUUUGCCAGCACGUAAUGGUGGGAACUCCAGGGAGACUGCCGGUGAUAAACCGGAGGAAGGUGGGGACGACGUCAAGUCAUCAUGGCCCUUACGAGUAGGGCUACACACGUGCUACAAUGGCGUAUACAGAGGGCUGCCAACCAGCGAUGGUGAGCGAAUCCCAGAAAGUACGUCGUAGUCCGGAUUGGAGUCUGCAACUCGACUCCAUGAAGUCGGAAUCGCUAGUAAUCGUGAAUCAGAAUGUCACGGUGAAUACGUUCCCGGGCCUUGUACACACCGCCCGUCACACCAUGGGAGUGGGCUGCACCAGAAGUAGAUAGCUUAACCUUCGGGAGGGCGUCUACCACGGUGUGGUUCAUGACUGGGGGAAGUCGUAACAAGGUAACCAAGGGC
rnacentral:rRNA from 1 species